GUUCAGCUUGGCCUAUAACAAAAAUUCUCACAGCAGAGAUUAGUUUAGAAAGUUGAGAACAGUAAACAGAUGUACUUACCUUAGCCAUGAUUCAGAUCUGCGAUGGUGACCAUGCCUUUGGUGAAUUUUUUUUUAUUUGGUCCUGAAAGAAAAACAAAUAAGUUAGAUCAAUUCCUCGGCAACGACGCCAAUUUUUGACUCGCGGUUGUAGCCGGUCAAAAAUAACCUUCUUGGUUAUCAACAAUUUACAACUGCAGAUAGUGGUGAAGGAUCGAAUCCACAGAGAAUUGAUUACCUAUUUAUUUUUCUCAACAAGACCAAUAAAGUAAACUGAAACAAUGAGAUAAACCAAAAAUAAGAUAAACUGAAAGCGGAAUAAAAAUAAAUUGCAGUAAAAGUAAAAUGGGGGGUUUGAGAUUGAUUUGAUUAAUAAACUACUAAAAGCAAUUAAAAUAAGCGAAUAAUAAAAUAAAAGAGAAAUAAAUAAUAAGAAAGCUCUAGUUGAAGCAUUGGAUCCACUUUAGUCAUUGGGAUUGAUCACAGACACUUUGUUCUUUUGGGUUGAUUCAAUAGAUUAGUUAUGGGGAUGGAAGACGCUUCUCACCACCAUUAUCUCUCCUUAUGAUUAAACCAAUUAGGGAACGUCCUCUAAUUAAUUACUAAUUAACAAAAUGCCAAGGAACGUCCUUGGGCCUUAGGCAUCAAAACAAUUGUCAAUUGCAUUAAGAAAUAGAGAGAUCCAAUCCUAGCUACCCAAACGUAUGGAGAUAACGCUAGAUCAAACAAUUUCCUUGGAUUUUAUCCCAAGUGUUCUCAUGUAAGAAUAACCCAAGCAAUUACGGACUUAAAUUAUUCAAACUAACAAAUAAUUAUUUUGCAAUAAAAAAUCAAUGUAGAUUUCAAUAACAAAAUAAUAUGAGAAUUAAAUAUGAAAUUGCAUGAAUAUUGAAUUCCCAAAAUUAAACAAUAUUUGAUCAAGUCUCACAACCCAUUAAACAACUAAAGCUUCAACCAAUAUUCAACUAGAUGAAAGAAAUCAGCCACUCAUUGGCUGAAUUAAAAGCAAAAAAAUAAAAUAAAAAAUAAAAUAAAAAAAGGAAAAAGAAAGAACCGAAGGAGCUGGCUUGCGGAAAUUGCCUAGAGGAGGAAUUGUCUGCUUAAUUCGGCCACUAAAGGCUCUAUUUAUAAGUGCAGAGGGGCGCACUAUUUUGGAAGAUUGCUGGCCUGGGAGUGGAUCGAGUGUGCGAUUGUCCACGUGAAGCUGGGGUUGAAGUGCGGGAGCAUGCAGGCCGUAGCGCUUGAGCUUGUGCGUGCGUGAGUGUGCCUUGGCCUGUUGGCGUGAAGCGU
rnacentral:lncRNA from 1 species